UAAAGCGCUUUUGUCCUCCUAAGGCAGGGGUCCCCAAACUACGGCUGGCGGGCCGAAUGUGGCCCACUUCAGCAUUUUGCCUGGCCCCCUGAACAAGACCA